rnacentral:rRNA from 1 species
GAUGAACGCUGGCGGCGUGCCUAAUACAUGCAAGUCGAGCGAACAGACGAGGAGCUUGCUCCUCUGACGUUAGCGGCGGACGGGUGAGUAACACGUGGAUAACCUACCUAUAAGACUGGGAUAACUUCGGGAAACCGGAGCUACUACCGGAUAAUAUAUUGAACCGCAUGGUUCAAUAGUGAAAGACGGUUUUGCUGUCACUUAUAGAUGGAUCCGCGCCGCAUUAGCUAGUUGGUAAGGUAACGGCUUACCAAGGCAACGAUGCGUAGCCGACGUGAGAGGGGGAUCGGCCACACUGGAACUGAGACACGGUCCAGGCUCCUACGGGAGGCAGCAGUAGGGAAUCUUCCGCAAUGGGCGAAAGCCUGACGGAGCAACGCCGCGUGAGUGAUGAAGGUCUUCGGAUCGUAAAACUCUGUUAUUAGGGAAGAACAAAUGUGUAAGUAACUAUGCACGUCUUGACGGUACCUAAUCAGAAAGCCACGGCUAACUACGUG